GUGGGCGGUAACGGCCCACCUAACCGACGAUGCGUAGGGGUUCUGAGAGGAAGGUCCCCCACACUGGUACUGAGACACGGACCAGACUCCUACGGAAGGCAGCAG
rnacentral:rRNA from 1 species